rnacentral:rRNA from 1 species
GACGAACGCUGGCGGCGUGCUUAACACAUGCAAGUCGAACGGAAAGGCCCUGCUUUUUUGUGGUGCUCGAGUGGCGCACGGGUGAGUAACACGUGUGUAACCUGCCCUUUACUUGGGAAUAACUUUUGGAAACUGGGGCUAAUACCCGAUAGUAUCUCAUGCUGCAUGGUGUUGGUUGGAAAGUUUCGGCGGUUGGGGAUUGGUUAGCCGGUUAUCUACUUGUUUGUGAGGUUGUGGCUUUCCAAGGCCUUGACGGGUAGCCGGCCUGAGAGGGUGACCGGGCACAGUGGGACAGAGAUACGGCCCAGACUCCUACGGGAGGCAGCAGUGGGGACGAGUGCACGAUGGGCGGAAGCCUGAUGCAGCAACGCCGCGUGCGGGGUGACGGACUUCGGGUAGUAGGCCGCUUUCGCCUGUGACGAUACGUGAGUGACGGUAAUGGAUAAAGAAGCACCGGCUAACUACGUG